CGCGGCUCCGAGCGCUCCCUUCGGCCUCGGUUUGGAAAAAAACUUCUGCGCUGGUGACGGCUAGAGUGUAUCAAUGCAGCCAGCGUGAGUCGUUCCUGUUAGUUACCGUGAGUUACCAAAGAGUCCUACAGUGUUAUCCUUCAGUGCCCACUUCAAGUCUCUCCUCUUUCAUGAAGGGCUUCUCAGUACAGAAUCAUCUGAAGAAAUGUCCUUGAAUUCCUAACUAGUGGUUUGCUGGAGACAGCCGCCCAUGCCGUGCCUCUGUGCUUCUCUUUCCAAUUCUGAGUCAAUGAACUUCAUAUUUGCAUCAAAGUGGGAAUAAUUACGCGAUGGAGAUCAGCAAAUGCGACAAAUCAAGACUCUCUCCCCCCAGCCGAGGCUCCAGCCUGUUCACCAGCACAGCACUGUCUGAAUGCCAUGUCAACUGGACCACCCCCUCGGAUAUUAGUCAUGUACCAAUUUGUGACAGCUCUUGCUUUUUGAAUGUGGUGAAGUUGGGAGGGCAAGGACCCCUGACCUACACUGCAUCUGAAUCUCCAAAGGAGGAAAGGUCCUGAGGAAUAGUUUGGUCUGUGGUCUUCAUUGGGGAAAAAGAGGACAGAGACCUUCAGGGACUUGGUAAUUAGUUGUGAAGUCAAGGCAGAGAAAGUCUACCAUCUUUUGACUUCCACCCAUGAUUAAAAUGUAGGCCUUCCUGGCCUUCUUCUUUGUCCUUUUUCAGCCCUUCUUUUCUGCAUUUUUGGCACAAAAGAGCGUUUAAAGUGAUUGUUGAAUCAUUCCCAAUAGCUAAUGGCCAAGACCCAAAUUGUCAAUGCUUACUUUCAACAAGGGACUUUGGGGCUGUGAAGUUCUCCAGGAUGAGAUCAUUCCAGAUGGGGUCUUCUUACUGUGGCAGCACUAGGGAGACAGCUGCUGAAAGAGAGGACUUGCUGUCCUUCCAUAGAAAGAUCGAGAUGUUGGAGUGAGUGUUGGCUUCCCUGUGUAUCAUGUCACGUAGAAUCAAACAAGAUGAUAGUUGAACUGCAAGGAAAGCUUGCAGACUAUAAAAAUUGAAAAUACACAGUUUAUGUUUGACAUAGCUGUUCUGUUUCCACAACUUAUUCUGGAAAUAUGCAUAAAGAUAUUCAUUUCAACGGUGUUUGAACUAAAAGACUGGAAACAAUCUGAAUGGCUCACCAUCGGGAACUAAUUACAUAUGUACUUACACAGAGGCAGAACUCUAUGUACUACUAUAGAAUUAUCUGCAAGAUACUUUGUUUAGUGAGAACGAUAAGGAGUGGAACAGUGUGUAUAGUUUGCUAGCAUCCAAGUUAAAAAGAGGUGAGGAAAACACACAGAAAAACACAUGACUGUAUGAACAUAAUCUACCUCAAGGAAGAUACGAAACAUCAUGACCCAAAAGGUUGUCUCUAGAGAGGGGAACUGGAAAAUAGUUGUAAAAGGAAGACUUAUUAUUCACUGUAUGGGACAAUUUGACUUUUAAAACAUGGGAAUCUAGUUCUUAUUCUAUAUCCCUCCCUCAGUAAUAUAAAAUAAAAUAAAAGAUUAUACUG